rnacentral:rRNA from 1 species
UACAGAGGUCUCAAGCGUUGUUCGGAUUCAUUGGGCGUAAAGGGUGCGUAGGCGGGUCUUUAAGUCAGGGGUGAAAUCCUGGAGCUCAACUCCAGAACUGCCUUUGAUACUGAAGAUCUUGAGUUCGGGAGAGGUGAGUGGAACUGCGAGUGUAGAGGUGAAAUUCGUAGAUAUUCGCAAGAACACCAGUGGCGAAAGCGGCUCACUGGCCCGAUACUGACGCUGAGGCACGAAAGCGUGGGGAGCAAACAGG